CCUACGGGUGGCAGCAGUGAGGAAUAUUGGUCAAUGGGCGCGAGCCUGAACCAGCCAAGUCGCGUGAGGGAAGACGGUCCUAUGGAUUGUAAACCUCUUUUGUCGGGGAGCAAAAGAUGCAACGCGUGGCGUUCCGAGAGUACCCGAAGAACAAGCAUCGGCUAACUCCGUGACAGCAGCCGCGGUAAUACGGAGGAUGCGAGCUUGAUCCGGAUUUAUUGGGUUACAAGGGUGCGCAGGAGGAAGAUCAAGUCAGCGGUAAAAUGGAGAGGCUCAACCUCUUCGAGCAGUUGACACUGGUAUGCUUGAGUGAGUGAGAAGUAUGCGGAAUGCGUGGUGUAGCGGUGAAAUGCAUAGAUAUCGCGCAGAACUCCGAUUGCGAAGGCAGCAUGCCGGCUCCACACUGACGCUGAGGCACGAAGGCCAGGGGAGCGAAAGGGAUUAGAUACCCCAGUAGUC
rnacentral:rRNA from 1 species